UACGUAGGGGGCUAGCGUUGUCCGGAAUCAUUGGGCGUAAAGCGCGCGUAGGCGGCGCGGUAUGUCGUGCGUGAAAUCUCCCGGCUUAACUGGGAGGGGCCGUGCGAAACUGCCGGGCUUGAGGUCGGAAGGGGAAAGUGGAAUUCCGGGUGUAGUGGUGGAAUACGUAGAUAUCCGGAGGAACACCAGCGGCGAAGGCGGCUUUCUGGUCCGAUACUGACGCUGAGGUGCGAAAGCGUGGGGAGCGAUCCGG
rnacentral:rRNA from 1 species